GGCGCCGCCACUCCCGUGCCUCUUCGCUUCCAACGUCGCGGCCGGCCUUUAAUGGAAAGCUACGGCGUGAACUCAUUCCCCAACCAGCACUCCUUCCUCUCUCAACGCUUGGCUUGCUCCCCAACUGGACUUUGGAGAGACCUAGAUGAUCGUACAUCCAUUAAAUCUGCAUGUGUCUUGUUCUGCUUUUCAUUGGAUCCAAAUGUGAGAGAGUCUUCAAGAAGGAGAUUAGGAGAAGGGAGAAAAUUUAGGCAAUUCAGGCGUGUCUUUUUGUUCGUGUUGACUGCUAUGGUGUACGGAUAAGCCACCUACAACAUCCACAUGAAUCGGUUUCCAGGAUAGUUAUUCUUUGAGUAAACAAUUUUGGAGUGAAGAGCAUGGUAGAUCGGGGAUGAUCCAGAAACAAAUGUAAGUUCAGGCAAUAGUUUUAUUUCUCAUGGAAACACAAAUGUUUUAUGUUGCAACCAGUUUUGACAAGGCUAUUUGUUUUGCCAAAAAGAAAGAUGUGUCCACUGACAAUUAGGAAGUUGAUCUUUUCUGGCGCUAUAUUGUUUCAUUACUAUCAUGAUGGAUAAAUAGUAGUAUUCUCAGUCUUAGAGUCCAAGA